GCCAGGCAUGGUGGCAUGUACCUGUAGUCAGGCGGCUGAGGUGGGAGGAUCACUUGAGUCCAGGAGUUCUGGGCUGCAGUGCACCAUGCCAAUUGGAUGGUCAUACUAAGUUCAGCAUCAAUAUGGUGGCCUCCUUGGAGUGGGGGACCACUGGGUUUCCUAAGGAGGGGUGAACCAGCCCAGGUCAGAAAUGGAGCAGGUCACAGCUCUUGUGCUGUUCAUAGAUGUUUUUUAUGCUCUACAUAAUUUUAUAAAAUUUGAAUUUUACAAAGAGUGUAUUUCAGUUAGCCGUAGGCUAUAAUAGAAUAGCCAUUCUCU
rnacentral:SRP_RNA from 1 species